rnacentral:misc_RNA from 1 species
ACCCAUUACGUCGAUAGACGCACUUGAUGCAGUGCCUACACAGAUAGUCUUGUUUAUAUUUAAAGAUGACUUAAAUAAAAGCCCUUAGCUUUGAUUUAAGAUCAAACCUAAGUGUUUUGAAUUAAGCACUAUGUUCUUUAACAAUUUGGAAAGCUGAUAUUAAUAGUAAUCAAUCAAAAUUGAGUAACUGAGAAGUCGAAAGACGUACUUUUUACUCUACUUGACUUGAAUUGCCUUGUUAUCAACAUUGAUUGAUAGCAAGGCAAUUCUUCCGAUUAGCUUGUCAUGCAUACAACAUUACCCUUGUCCGAAUUCAAAAGGCGGACAUGAGGCCGAUACUCAAGGCUUUUUAGGGUUGUAU